CAUUUUCCAACGGGCGGGGGCGGUGAGGGAACCGUGAGGGACGCUGAGGGGAUGGCGCGGGUGCGGAAAGGGGACCGUAAGUAAGGGGACGGCAUGAGCCAAGAAGGACCGCGGCGGACCUAGCUCCAAGCGCUCCCCGGCCACAGGGUCGAGAUGAGUGAAUGAAGAGCCACGAGAGCCCUGGAGCAGAGCGGACGGAACCCGGCGACUGGCCGCCUCUCUCUGGCGCGCUUCCUGUGUUGUUCCUCCUGCUUCUACUGGUCCUAUCGUCCCAACUCUUAACGGCUUCGCGGCCCCAGGUGGUUCAGAGAAAUCCGAGGAGCAGAAUCUGGGGCCAUGGCUAUGGAUAUGUUGGGAAGAUAGAGUUUGUGACUCCUGAUUCGAAGGCCAUCAGCUCAUCUGUGGAAAACUCAGGGAGCACAUGGAGGGAAUGAGGCUCUUCAACGUCCUGAGGCCCUGUGCUAGAGCUCGGAAGUACCACAGGAAUAAUGCAAGCAACCACAGGAAACUAACCAGGCAGUGAUGACCCUGUUCUGGAUUCCCCCCUUCAGCAUUUAAAAUAUCAGAACUUUUCCAUCUCCCUAGAAAUGUAUCAAUAUUGGAUGGAGGUGGAGAUUGGUGGACCUUUCUGUUCCCAAGGAACAGAAACUAGUGGCAGGGAUUUUUUAAAAAUACAAAAAUAAACAAGCUUAUCUUUGCCCUGAGGAGUUCUGUUCUUCACCAGAAGAGCUGGCUGGACAAAGUGCCACAGCAAGUUAAGUCACAAGGUCCGACCGACAGUAAGCUGCACAAAACACCUGCUGAAUAGAGGAAGGGACCACUCCGUGGGCCAGGUGCUGGCUGACGGAGAGGCUGAGCCUGGCUCCCCACUGACAUCAGGGGCCAGCUGCAGGACAGAGAAUAAACCCCUGCCCUGCAAGCCUCCAGGCGUUGGAGGUUUUCUUCACAGCAGCCUGUCUUGACUGACAUGUCGUCCCAAUUCUGCCACUAUUUGUGUGGCUGGAGUGAGUCCCUCUCUGCUCUGAUCUCAGUUUCCCCAUCAGAAAGUGAAGAAGUCGUGCCUGCUGUUGCCUAUGCAAUGAUGAGCGCUGACAGCAGGCUCCAAACAGAGGCAAGGACAAGGGAGUUUAGGCGAAUGAGAAGAGGAAGCUCUGGAAGCCAUGAGCAGGGCCUGGAUGGUCGGGAGUGGAGACGGAAUGAGGGGCCAGGGACAAAGGAGACCUGUGGGGAAGGAGACGCUUCUCAGAAGAGAGGGGCCCUUACAGAGUCUCCUCUAGGGAGGGCUCUGGAGGCGGUGGACUACGAGCUGGCUGCAAAUCAAGCUCUGUAUUUAUUUAGCACUUGCCAUAGUAAGGCCCUGUGCCCAGGACGCCAGGGACCCUUGGUGUCCUCAGCCACCCUUCGAGGAAGGCAUUCUACCUCUAACAUUGUGGACGGGGAUGCUGAGGCCCAGGGAUGAAGUGACUCGCGGAAACAGAGACAAAAGCGGUAGAGCAGCGGCCCUGGACGGUGCCGGUGCCGGCGGCUCUUCCCACAGAUCCAUGGGCAUUUCACCGGAGGGAGCUCAGAGCUCUGAGGAUGCAGAGGGCGGCAGGGAGGGGAGGCAGUGCCUCCUCAGCCAGGGGAAGGAGCGAAGGGACUCACCAGUCACAGGCAGGGCUGG